rnacentral:lncRNA from 1 species
UUUUGUUAAGUUCAGGUUCAUCUCCAUUGCUUGAAUAACAGCUCUUCCUCCUGUAUGAAUGCAGAAAUGCUCAAACGCUGUCUUGAAGUUUGGUGUAUAAGAAGAAGUCGACUCAUAGAUCUUUAGUUUCUUACUAAGAAUGUUUUGUAUCACAUAUUGGAAUUGCUCUAGGUAAGGUAAUACCGAAGGUCCCAGUGAAGUUAGAUUCAUCUUCAGCAUAUCUCCAGCAACACUGAUUACAUCUUUGGUUAUCGAUACCCCUUGCUUUUCCUCAGAGUCUAUGUCUUGAUAGAUACAUCGGUAAGCUCGAUCAUCUUUUGCUUUAUUUGUCCUAACAACAUGCAAGAGCUCAUACUUUGCAUUUCCUCUGUCAUGAUCAUUGCUAGACAUCAAUACUGCAGCUGCUCCCAUUCGAAAGAGACAGUUGCUAAGAAGCAUAGAUCUGUCUUUGCCAAUAUACCAAUGUGUAUU